GGUGGGGCGAGGCCUGGUAUGAGGGCUUCCUGUGCUACGAUAUCAAUUGCAUCCACGAUAGGUUCAGCUUUUCCUCCUUUUUGAAAUCCUCUGGUAUCGGCCCCAAGUCUAAAGAAGAUUGAAAAAUUAUGACCGGUGACUCUACAAUUUCCACUCUCACUUCCCUUAAUAUCCUUGGUAGCAUCUCAUCCGGUCUUGGUGCCGAAUCCACUUUAAGUACAGACAACCUAUCCAAUACUUCCUCUACGUCACCAUCUCCCUCAAGGUACCCCUUGACCUGGAAGCUGUCCCAACAGGAAGGCAUGUGGGCAGAGACGAAGGAGAGCUGCAGCAGAUGAAGAACAGAGAGGGCACAUUUACAAGGAGCUGUUUUUGUAAAACAGUUUAAAAGCACAGAAAACUGAAGAUAGGAUUGGAGCAAAGAUUGUGAAUUGAACAAUUCCACAGCUAUGCUUCAGUUUUUUCAGAACCGACCGGACCGUUUAAAGAGGCUUAUUAAAGGAGCCAGAUAAAGGAGUCUCUGGGGAAUCUGUUCAGUCAAGACUAUUGUGAACCUAACUAAGGAAGUUCUGCAGGAACUUGUCAUUUGGUUCACAACUGCUUCUGGGGGACUCACAUGGAGUGGAGCUACCAUUACAGGUGACUCGAGAUCCAAAUUCAUUGAGAAAGAAAAGUGAAAGAUUCUGCAUUCAGAAGGCUAAGUUGGAAAGACUAAGAUUGCAUGUGAUGCCACAUUUGUGUGGGGAGUGAUACAAAUACUUGUAAACCUCAUGAAAUAGUCUUUCUUGUAUCUGUUAUUCCACGUUUAAUUUAUAAUUCAUACCGACUGUAAUUUACCUGUUAAUUCAUGUUCAAUUUCUGAUUUGUGCUAAAGUAAAAGCCACAAAAAGUGGAA